rnacentral:rRNA from 1 species
AAACUUCGCAAUGUGCGCAAGCACGACGAGGGAAUCCUAAGUGCCUAUGCUUUGCAUAGGCUGUUCUCCUGUCUAAAAAACUGGUGAAGAAAGGGCCGGGCAAGACCGGUGCCAGCCGCCGCGGUAAUACCGGCGGCUCGAGUGGUGGCCACUAUUACUGGGCUUAAAGCGUUCGUAGCUGGUUUGUUAAGUCUCUGGGGAAAUCUUCCGGCUUAACCGGAAGGCGUCUCAGGGAUACUGGCAGACUAGGGACCGGAAGAGGUGAGGGGUACUCCAGGGGUAGGAGUGAAA